AGGGACAUAGUUCAAUGGUAGAACAACGGUCUCCAAAACCGUCGAUGCGGGUUCAAUCCCUGCUGUCCCUGCCA
rnacentral:tRNA from 5 species